rnacentral:rRNA from 1 species
GGAAUCUUGGACAAUGGGCGAAAGCCUGAUCCAGCCAUGCCGCGUGAGUGAUGAAGGCCUUAGGGUUGUAAAGCUCUUUCGCCAGGGAAGAUAAUGACGGUACCUGGAUAAGAAGCUCCGGCUAACUUCGUGCCAGCAGCCGCGGUAAUACGAAGGGAGCUAGCGUUGUUCGGAAUCACUGGGCGUAAAGCGCACGUAGGCGGAUCGCUAAGUCAGGGGUGAAAUCCCGGGGCUCAACCUCGGAACUGCCUUUGAUACUGACGAUCUAGAGUCCGAUAGAGGUGGGUGGAAUUCCUAGUGUAGAGGUGAAAUUCGUAGAUAUUAGGAAGAACACCGGUGGCGAAGGCGGCCCACUGGAUCGGUACUGACGCUGAGGUGCGAAAGCGUGGGGAGCAA